UAGUUGGUUGGUUAGAUUCAUACUUGGAGUGCUUGAUGGUGUACUUGAAACUGUUAGGAGCUAUCUAGAUUUAGGAUAACCUCAGAUAGAGAGUUCACUUUAUGCUAAUUUGACUAUAAUUAACAUCUAACGAUAACUAAUUCUUCUUAUCUAUUGUCUCUAGAUUUAUGACUCUCUUAGGAUUUUUAUCUUUAGAACUUUUCUUUUUUUUAUCUUCUCUUCUUCUUCCUCUCUCCCUCUUCCUUUAAAAAAAAACAACAAUUUGAACCACACAUAUGAGGGUUUGUACUAGUACAUGUACGGUAGGAGAUCUUUUUUUUCUGAACUAGUUGAACCCAAUCCUAAAAUUUAACGGCCGAUCCACGUUAAACCUG
rnacentral:lncRNA from 1 species